rnacentral:misc_RNA from 1 species
CUGGUGAUAAGAAGUAUCAUACUUUCACUGCAGAAUGUUGUUACUGCUUCUGUGCUCCUUGUUGUGUGGAGCAGCGUUGGCUGACACAACCGUCAUAAUCUACAACGAGUGGCUCUCCCAGGGUGGACGUGUCAAUUAUGAAGUUGAACGAUGGAACAACGUUAAUGCACUCACCCAAAUGAACCUGAUUCCAAAGAUGAAAUCUAUCGGAGCGGUUUCUGGGCGUUGGGUAAACAGAGACCUGAGAAAAGGUCUCUUUGCAAAUGUAACGUCUACUACCAAAUCGCCGAAUGAAAUCUAAGCAUAGGCGGAUUCCUUGUUUCCUUG